rnacentral:rRNA from 1 species
CCUACGGGUGGCAGCAGUGGGGAAUAUUGCACAAUGGGCGCAAGCCUGAUGCAGCCAUGCCGCGUGUAUGAAGAAGGCCUUCGGGUUGUAAAGUACUUUCAGCGGGGAGGAAGGGAGUAAAGUUAAUACCUUUGCUCAUUGACGUUACCCGCAGAAGAAGCACCGGCUAACUCCGUGCCAGCAGCCGCGGUAAUACGGAGGGUGCAAGCGUUAAUCGGAAUUACUGGGCGUAAAGCGCACGCAGGCGGUUUGUUAAGUCAGAUGUGAAAUCCCCGGGCUCAACCUGGGAACUGCAUCUGAUACUGGCAAGCUUGAGUCUCGUAGAGGGGGGUAGAAUUCCAGGUGUAGCGGUGAAAUGCGUAGAGAUCGGGAGGAACAUCAGUGGCGAAGGCGGCCAUCUGGAUCGACACUGACGCUGAGGCACGAAAGCGUGGGGAGCAAACAGGAUUAGAUACCCCCGUAGUC